AGGAGGUUGAUUUGACAAGUUUAUUCCUGAGCUUCCCUGUGCAAAAGCAGUAGUUUCACUCUCAGGGUCAGCGUUGAAAGGUAUUUCCUGCGACACUUGUGAAACAUAGAGGAAAAUGAGGCUCUGCACUCCACUCUUGUGGCUCUAUGAGAAAUUACAAAAUUUCAACUUUUUGUUCCAAUUGAGAAUGAAAACAAAUUUUGAAAUGACAGAAUUUCCCAUUGGACAGAAAUUCCAUUUUCUGACCUGCUCUGCUCAGUUGGUGUAAACUGGGGUAGCUCCACUAGAGUCAAUGCAAAACACUCCAGAUCUCAAUGGGAAGCUUGCUCAAGUAAGGACUGAGUAAGGAGUGCAGGAUGUGGCUGAUGAUGCUACUUUUUAUU